GGUUUUUCAACUGGGAGGACUGC
rnacentral:piRNA from 1 species